UACUUGGUAAGCAACUUUUUUCUUCCAUAGAAGCAAGCAACAUUACAAAUUUUUUACAUGGAUGUACAAACAUGCAUGCAUGAAAAGCAAAAGAGUGCAUACAUGUUCUCUAAUAAACUUCAUAAAACUGGGACUUCUUGAAGACAAUAUCACAAGAUUACUUUAAUCAUGUCAUGGAAUGAAUCUUAGUUUUCAAGCAGAUGCUCCUAUGGUUAAUUAGCAACUGCAAUUAAAUGAACAUAAUAAUUGUCAACUAAAUGACCUUGUAUAUACAUAUAAGGCCAAGUAAUGCAUUAGGAUUUUCCAAAUAAAAAAAAAAUGCACCCCAUUUAAAUGGUGAUGCAGCAUCACAGGGGGAAUACUGGAAGGGAUCACAACAACCUUUUUAUGGGGUUCAAAAUGGCGGAACAAGUAUAGCACCUGACCCAACAAAUUCAUAACCACAAAACCUAGGACUAAAAGAUAGCAAAUCCUAGCCCAUCCAAAAAGCAAAAGACAGCAUAUGAUCCAUUGAUAUGGGUACUGGAAGUAACCCAUGUUAAUUGAUAGUAAACAAGAUGCUGCACUGACAUUCACAGUUAGCAUAAAACUUAGCUCUUAAAAGUAAAAGAGAACGAGAGUUAACCAUCUUUGAGCUCUCAACUACUUC
rnacentral:misc_RNA from 1 species